GACCAUGCCUUCACCACGCCCCUUUGUGAUCUCACACCCCUACCUGACCCCACCUGUAUGCCCACCUGCCAAUCAGGCUAUGUAACCACUUCCCUUUGGAAGUGUAUAAAAGGCCUGGAGCACAGUGGGCCCCUCCCUUUUUUGUUGCCCUUGCUGCCCAUGCCUUCAGGGCACGUGGCCUUCAGGCUUCCUGCUCCCUGUUUUCCUGCCCGCAUGCUUGCUGUAGUGCUUGCUCCUGGCCUGCUCUCUGCUUGGUAUGGACCCAACUUCCCAACUUAAUUUCUAGACUCUUUUUUCUCCCCUACAUAAAGCCCUCACUCUCCUAUGCAUUUCUGUCACCGAAUAAAAUAGUUAAAACUUAAAAAAAAAAAAGGUAAACAAUUUAGGCUUUGGAACUAGAUCUAGGAAGAACUUUGGGUGUGGUCACUAGCACCCAUCAUUUAUAGGAAGCAAAUGAAUGGGAGUCUUACUGUUUUUGAGAAAAUUGUGUUACCAAAAAAAAAAAAAAUCACGAACUUGGAUGAAAUAACCUUUAAUUUCUUAAACCUUAUCCUUUGGUCCUAAAUUUGCGUGAUUAGGAAGUGAAUGGGCUAUAAAGUCUGUACAGUCUAUUUCAGGAGAGCACUCUUGAAGUGAUGAAAAAGCAACAAGGACAAGGAGGGUAAGUAGGAAUCUUAAAGGCAAAUAGGCAAGGAAUUUCUUCCAGAGAGCAGAUUAAUGGACUAAGCAAGGAACUAAAACUUUCGCACAUUGCCUACCCAGCAGGAUUCCAUCAUACUAUUCACUAAGGACUGUGUUUUUCCCAUUCUUCCUUUUUUUUUUUCUUUCUGAAUGAGAGUUGACUGCAGUUUUCAAACUCCUGUUCCACCAUGGUAGAGUGGAUGCAUGUUAGAAAAAAAAAAGAGACAAUGUAAUGCAUGUUCUUUCUUUCUUUCUUUCUUUCUUUCUUUCUUUCUUUCUUUCUUUCUUUCUUUCUUUCUGACAGUGAGAGAGACAGAGAGAAAGGUCUUCCUUUUUCUGUUGGUUCACCCUCCAAUGGCCACCGCGGCCGGCUCACUGCGGCCGGCACACCGCACUGAUCCGAAGGCAGGAGCCAGGUACUUCUCCUGGUCUCCCAUGGGGUGCAGGGCCCAAGCACUUGGGCCAUCCUCCACUGCACUCCCUGGCCACAGCAGAGAGCUGGCCUGGAAGAGGGGCCAGAAUCCGGCAUCCCGACCAGGACUAGAACCCGGUGUGCCAGCGCCGCAAGGCAGAGGAUUAGCCUAGUGAGCCGCGGCGCCAGCCAAUAGUUUCUUAUUAAAAAUCCAGUUCCUCUUCUUCCGGAACACCUGGUUGGACUGUGGUACAGGCAGUUACAUGAGUGAGUACUUGCAACAGACUGCGAGGGAGGGGAUGUGGGCUACUUCCAGGCAGAAGCUGCUUUGUCUCCUCCUCGCUCUCAUUUUUCUGCUGUUGGGCGGGUCUGGAUAAUGAUGAGGCCCCAGAUCCUGGGGGAUGGGGUAGCCCCACGCCGCCGGGAGCCUGGACUCUGAAUCAUGCAGUGGAGGAGAGCUGUCUUCAGACUGUUUAUUGGGAGAAAAGACAAGAAAAUUUUUCCUUGUCUCAAGCAGAGUACCUUCCCUUCCCCUCUGAGGUCUUGGUACGAACUUAACGUUUGUUAUUGAAGAAUUGCCUGAGCAGAUUAUCAAGGCACUUUCUCAUACAAAGGCUGGCCUUUGAACCUCCUUUGCUAACUGGGGAAUGAUGCAAAGCUCAGAAAUCAGACCAGCCUGAGUACAAGCACUGGUUCUUCUAAUCACCUGUCAAGUGCCCUCAGGCCAAAGGGAGACCUUGUAGAGGCCCCAGUGCCUUCUCUUCACGUUGCUGCUUCCAUGGUAAGUCCUGCUGACUACAAAGACCUCAGUUCUCAUGAGCGUUUUUGUCUGACAUCUCUCUCUGUUUUAAUCAGGACCAACAAAUGCACAAACACCUCAAAUACAUCUUAGUUAUCUGGCUUAAGGGUUAAAAAUUCAAAUACUUUCAGAAAUGAAGCAGGUGGUAUGAUGAGUAUUAUUCAAUUAGAUGGUAAUAUUCAACUCUAACCUGUUUGUUACAAAACUUAAGCAGGAACCAUGGACUCAAUAUCAGAAGAUAUUUUGGAUUAAAAGCUCUUCAUUUUCAUGAGUUGGUAACUGUGUUGAUCAGUUUUCUGUUACUAUAACAAAAUGCCUGGGACUGGGUAUUUUAUAAAGAAAAUAAAUUGUUUAGCUUACAGUUCUGGAUAUUAAAAGCAUUGACUGUCCUCUGCUUGCCUCUGGUGGAGGCUCAAAGUGGUUGACACCAUAAUGGUGGGAGUGCAUGUGAGCAGGGAAAGUACAGGGGGAGAUAGCAGGCUAGCAAGCUGGGAGGGGCCAGGCACUACCUUUUAUAACAACUCAUUUUCAUGACAACUAAUUCAGGGUCCCAUGAGAACUCUCUGAAAUUCUUCUAAGGGCAGCACCCUCAAUGACACAACCAACUCCCAUGAGGCUCCAUCUUUUGAAGGUUUCACUGCUUCUAAACAUCGUCACAUUGGGAACCAAGCUUCCAGAACAUAAACCUUUUUGGGACAUACCACAUCCAAACCACAGUGGUUAACUGUUUAAAAAAAUCCUAAAAUACUAUGUAGGGCAAAUUAGACACAUCUAGGGGCUAGAAUUAGCCCACAGAAACCUGGAAAUCACCUAACUCUUUACUAUGCUGUUGUUGGUGGUGGUGAUGGUGGUGGUGGGGUGUGUGUGUGUGCAGCCCUUACUCUUGAAAUUAUAACGUCCUAGUAUUUGCUAAGCCCAGCUGGUUAAGAGGUUGCUAGGUAGACUGAUAAGAGGAAUGAAAGGGAAUAAGAAGACUCAGGUUCCAGUCUGAUUCUGUGAUAAACAGCUGUGGCCUUGCUCAUGUGAAUUUCUUGGUUUGGUUUGACCAUCCUCAUCUAUAAAAUGAAGGCAUUGCUGAAGGUAUCCUUAGGGCUCUUUCCAGUUCCAAAAUUCUAUGUUUAUAGCUGUAAUUUUAAUAAUCAAAUUCCUUUAUUUUGUUUGUAACUGGAAUAUGUAGUCCAAGUAGUUAGAGACUCAGGAUUAAGCUACACUGUGGAAACAAAUCAGAUUUACAAGAGUGAGAGCAUCUUUGAUAUGUGAUUUUUCUGGUAGAUUCCCUAAAGGAUGAGGCUAAGAAAAGAUUUACUCUGAAAUGAAAUGCUAUGCACUUUCCCAGAGGCAAUAGCCAUUAAGAUUUUCACUUGAAGUCUGGGAAGGGUUGAUGGAGGAAGGAAGAUAAAUAUACUGACAAAGAGUAGUAAGAAUAGGCAAGAAAGUGGAGGAUUGAAACUCUUA